UCACUUCCGGAAUCCUGAAUAGUCAAUUUGGAAAAUUUUAGAGUUUCCUCUCUAAACUUUGCACUGAACACAACUGUAAUUUUAUCCACAUUCGCUCGAGUUUGAGCUUUCUGGCUCUCGGAGCUGAAAGCCUGCAAUUACUAUAUAAUUCUUCGCAAUUUCAGAUGUCCUAAUAUGGACUGUAAUUUUUGCGCAAGACAAUUUCCUGCUAUUUCAAGCAUCAACAUUGUCAAAGUUGUAUGUACAUAAUAAAUGUGAAUAUCAAUGCAUAGUUUUUAGCAUAACAUCUUGACUCCUCGAUAAUUAUAUCCGUUUGGAGCCCACGCAGAAUUGCUUGAAUUACAUGGCAACAGCAACGCUCUAAUUUUUUUUAAAAAUUGCUCAUAAUUUCGAAAGAUUACCAAGUUCUCGAGAGCAGAAUGUCAUCAGCGUAAUGAAGAGUAAACAUUUAUGCUAAUAAUCUGCAAUCUUUUCAUCAGCUAUAAAGACAGGCUAUAACAGAAAUGCAGUCAUAUUCUGCAUCGAUAUUGAGCUAUUUAGAUAGUAGAUCUGCGAGCAGCAAUUCACUCAUAUGAGGUUUUUCCUUAGCAUUAAGACAAAAUCUCUUCCAAUGACUCAAUAGAACCGACCAGCUUGUCUGAAAAGAACAAGCAACAGCUGCACGCUGACUUCAAGAAAACCUGCUCAUUUCCACUCCAGAGAACCUGCUCUUUCCCACUCCCCUGAGUUUUGCCCCAUUGUCUUAGUCCAACAAAUGCCAAGCUAUGACUAUAAAAAUAUUGAAUCUCCUUCAUAAAGUAAACAUUAAGUUUACACAUUCACAGUGAAAAGGUGCGAGAUGGAAAUUGAUAGUUAGAUUUGUUUGGUUAUGUCUGACAAGGACACAGUACCACAAUGAAAGUGCAGUGUUUUGGGUAAUGCCAAAGUUUACAUUAAUGGAGAAUCUGGUUCAAUGAAAGAAUGGCUUGAAAGUUUUGUAAAAAUGCCAGUACAGGUAUUUUGCAUGAGUAAGAGUAAAAUUAAAGUCCUACACUUUAUUAUUAUUAUCAUCCCAAUUAUGCUUCAACAAUAGGGCACAAAUGUCUAUAAUUUUCCUGCAGUUUCAAACCAAGUUCUCGUUGAUUCCAUUGCUCCUGAAUGUCGUUGAAUGUUUGACAAAGUCAGAGACACUUGCAAACAAUUAAUAGAAACAAAGUGUUGGAGUCAGUGGGGCAGGCAGCAUCUCUGGAGAAAAAGGAUGGGUGAAGUUUCUUGUGACUGAAGAGGGUCACCGAUCCUUUUUCUUCACAUUUGCUGCCUGACCCGCUGAGUUACUCCAGCACUUUGUAUCCAUCUUUGGUAUAACCAGCAUCUGCAGUUUGUUGUUUCUGCAGACAAUUAAGGUCUUCAACAAUUCAGAGUGAAUGCAUUUCUAUGGGAUCUGUGAUCAAUAAGGCCCUGCAAUCCUCAGGACUUUGGUAAUCAGGUAGGAGUGAACUUUCCUGAAGUUAAUGCUGGGUGCUUUAGACUUUAUAUCAGAUUUUACAGAUACAGCUAAACAGGCUCUUCGGCCCGAGUCCACGCCGACCAGUAAUCACCUGGGCACUUGUUCUAUCUUAUACACAAGGACAAUUUACAAUUUACAGCAGCCAACUAUCCUACAAAUCUGUACGUCUUUGGAGUGUGAGAGGAAACCAGAGCACCGAGAGGAAACCCACGUGGUCACACAGAGAACAUACAAACUCCAUACAGACAGCACCUGUGGUCAGGAUUGAACCCGGGUCUCUGGCACUGUAAGUCAGCAACUCUACAGCUGCGCCGCUGAGCCGCUGCUUCAAGCUGCACAUGGCCCUGAUGAGUCCAUUGAACGUCUAAUUUACAUAUAUUAAACUCAAAUAAUGCUCCCAAAACUGAAAAAAUUUGAAUCUGAAAUGAAGCAAACAGUUUGUUAGCCAUAUGACUACAUUUUCUAUUCCAUUCUUGCAAUGGCGAUGCAAUAACUGGGCCUAUAUUUCCACUUUAUUUAACGUUAUAUACAAACAAGGAAGAUUUAAAUGUUACCAGGAAAUCAACCUUUCCGUGGUGGACUGUUUAAAACAAACGGGUGAUUAAGAAAUCUGCGUUAGAGGAGUCACACCUCAAAGUUUCUCAGAAUAUCAUUUCUAUCAUGUUAUUGAUAUGGUUUUUUUAUGUCAUGAAAGUAAACAGAUUUAACUAGUAGGAUGAAUUUCUUAGACAGAAGGUGGUAAAUCCGUGGAAUUCAUUGGCCCAGGCGGCUGUGGAGUCAUUGGGUAUUUUUAAAGCGGAGAUUGAUAGGCUCUUGAUUAAUGAGCAUUAAAGGUAAUAAGGAGAAAGCACGAGAAUGGGGUUGAUAGGGAAAUUAGAUCAGCCAUGAUCAAAUGGUGGAGCAGUCUCGAGGGGCCGAAUGGCCUAAUUUUCCUCCAAUGUCUUAUGAUCUUAUGAACUAAUUUCCAGAGACAUAGCUCAGAUCAUUUUAUUUUGAAAGGUAAUCAACUAUACAAGUGUGGACUGGAGAUUUCUAUGUAAUUAAUGAUGAAUGAUAAAAUCAUUUUCAUAUCAGUCUUAACUAUAAAGAAACAUGGAAUAGAAUAAAUUUACUUUUAUUUUAUAAGGAUUACACAUUUCAUGUAAGAUCAUUCAGAUAGGAAAUUGCCAUGAAGCACACCAUUAAAGACAGGAAAAUAAAUCUGUCCAUGCCAUUGUUUGAUGUGUAUCCCAACACAUAUUUCCUAUCCAAGGAGAGCCAGUGCUACCUUUCCUUUCGUUAUAUUAUCACUGGGCUCCAUCUGGCCAAUUGUCCUACUCCCACCACUUUUUGUACAAGAAAUCCAUUCUUUCCAUGCCAAAUGGAGAGCAAAAAGACUCCAUUACAAAAAUAGAUUCUUGCCAAAAACAAAAUGCUAUUUUCCAAAUUUCAUAUGUUGUUACAAUUAAUAGUCAGGAAUAUUUAAAAAACAUUUUACAAAAUUUAUGUCCAUUUCUUUUCCUCAGGGUUGCAAUCAACAAUGUCUUGCACAUCAAUCACGUUCUGGAGUCUUCACACUAACGUUAAAAACCGUGACCCGAGGGGAGAUUUUGUAAAAGGCCAAUGUGUGGGAAGUAAGUUGGAAAAUUUCCCCUCCAACUCCUUCACACAGUUCUCCAUCUUCUUCAAAGUUCAAUAUAACAAGAUGAGAACAUGGACAAUUCUAAUAGAUAAAAUCAAAUUAGGAAAACAAUAUUACAGAGUGCACAUAACCGAUGCAUCAAUCUGAAAAAUGAAAGGUUAAUUAAGAGAAAAAUGUUCAUUACAAAAAUGGUCUAAAAACAUGUUGAAACUGUCAUGCAUGGGGUAGAAAAAAGUCUCAGUGCAAACCAAUAUAUUUACUUUUAUCCAUCAGAUACCAACAGUGAAGAAUGCAUUUAUCACAAUGUUUAGUUUAUUUCAUGUCUUCCAUGUCACAUUUUUUAUUUUAAAAUGAUCCAGGUAGUCUACAAAUUAUUUGCACAAAUAAUAUAUUGCAGAAUUGCUGGUAUCGGGUUACUUCUAUGGAUAAAUUGUUGUAAACAAAUACCUGUCAG